rnacentral:rRNA from 1 species
UGGGGGAUAUUGCGCAAUGGGGGAAACCCUGACGCAGCAACGCCGCGUGAAGGAAGAAGGUCUUCGGAUUGUAAACUUUUGUCUUUGGGGAAGAAAACGACGGUACCCAAGGAGGAAGCCACGGCUAACUACGUGCCAGCAGCCGCGGUAAUACGUAGGUGGCGAGCGUUGUCCGGAAUUACUGGGUGUAAAGGGUGCGUAGGCGGGACAGCAAGUCAGGUGUGAAAAUUACGGGCUUAACUCGUAACCUGCACUUGAAACUGUUGUUCUUGAGUGAUGGAGAGGUAAGUGGAAUUCCCAGUGUAGCGGUGAAAUGCGUAGAUAUUGGGAGGAACACCAGUGGCGAAGGCGACUUACUGGACAUUAACUGACGCUGAGGCACGAAAGCAUGGGGAGCAAACA